AGGUAAUUUGGUCUUCUAUUGCGCACACACUAUAUCUUCAUGUAAAAAUAAUCUAGAGGCUUGUUCUCGAAAGAAGCAAUUCUUCUCUUCAAUUCAAACAGUUGCAAGCAAGAUUCUGAAAUAACACUGUGCAGUCUUCCUUUCUUUCUUUCUCAUGUCUAUACCUACUAUUAAAGAGAAUAACACUUCUUCCUCCUGAUUUUUUGUACGUUUGUCUUCCUUUCUUUCGUAUGUCAAAAGUGCCUUCGUCCGUCAGGUGUGGGACAAGGGGAUCGAACUCCUAACCUGGGCUCUGUUACGAGCAACAACUACCACCGAGCUAGCAUCAGGUUGUGUUCCUAAGUUCUGAUUCGUCUGUCUAUUAAAUAGUCCCUCCUGCUUUCUAAAACCCUAACUGAUCAAUUUAUCUACUCCCUCCGUCCGAAAAUCUUGUCGGAGAAAUGGAUGUAUCUAGACAUACUUUAGUUCUAGAUACAUUCAUUUGCCGGAGGGAGUAUGUCUUUGACUUGAAAUCAGUAAACCACCUUGAGGUUCAAUAAGCAGAGUGUAGUGGGUCCUGUUUAAUUACAAAUAUCAUCAGGAAUGAAUUACCUCCAUUGAGGGCAUAUAUAUGAACGAGGGACAAGGCAAAUGGACGCCGGAACCGCAUAUACAUAUGAACAAGGCGGGAUUCAGGAAAGAAAAGAGAGGAAGCGAGGCGGGAUUGAGUUCUCUCGCACCAUGCGACGGAGGCGAGGGUCUGAUGGACGAGCGGCGCUGCCGAGAGGGAGAGAGACUGCCAUGGAGGAGAGUUUGGAGAGCCGCACCGUUGUGGGGGAAGGCAGAAGCACAUACGCCGCCGACUCGGAUCUUCCAACGUUUCUGAUGCAAAGCUAUAGCCACUAGAGGUAAUUGAAAUCGUUGGCAUGGAAUAUAAUGUUAGGUCUGCAAACAAAUAAAUUAAGUGUUGUAUACUGCAAUCAAAAAAUCUUUGGCGUUCAAACCAAUGUGGUUAGUGUUAUGCACUGCGGCAAACAAUUUUUGACCUACAGACUAAGUGAUUGAAAAUUUCUGUGUUAUGUUACAAAAUUUUACUUACGUUAAGCACUUUCAAAUUUCAGUGUUGUGCUAACAUUUUCUACUUUUGUAAUAGACCAGUUUUUGCCUUCUAUAAUCUGGUCAUAAUCAAAUUAUUUUCCUGUGAAAAUCUUCAGGCUGGAGAGGUCCUAUGCAUCGCUGCUGCUAUUCAUGUCACUGGAAAGCUGAAAACUGCCAAGUCUGUUUGUUCUCUUUUAGUGUAUAUAUAGCCACCGUGGGAAGGCUAGCAGGACAAAUAUAUUGCAUCAUGUGAAGAAGCAAACAAAGCAGCAACAAGGUUCUAGAAGCCCGGUGUAGAUGCAGAUGAUGGCGAUGGUCAUGAAGACGAUCAGGCUCAGCCAUCCGCCAUGAACGUAUGCCCAAGAACAAACAAACAAUUAAUCAAGUGAAUGCAUCAAAAUGUGUACAUACAGGUGACAAGUGCUUGAACUACUAGCUAGCAUUGGGCUGUAUAUAUAGAUAGAAUAUUUCUUGCGCGGUUUUAUUUAUCUUUUGUGUCUGGUCACCCUGUAAUAUUACAAAAUCACUAAAAAAUCAUGUGUUCAUAAAAUGUUGGGCUUCAAAACAUGCUUCAACUCUAAUAACAAAACAUAAAAAAUGAUAGACAAACUAUUUCAUGCACCACUAUACUAUUCCAUAGACGAAGGAAGUUAGGCUAGCUUCUUCACAUCCACACUUUAUGCUCCGA
rnacentral:lncRNA from 1 species